rnacentral:lncRNA from 1 species
GCGCUUGCUUCCCUCUUCCGAGGGUGAAGAUCGACGGUCUGGUCGAACACAGCUAUCUCGCUCUCCUCUAUUGAUCGAGACCAGCUUCAGCCACUAUUGCUAGGACGGGCUUACUUAGACUGAGAACAGAGAUUCUUUUCUCUGCUAUGCUACUUUCCUCUUUCUUCCCUGAGGGCAUUCCUUUCCUUCCAAUAGAGCCAAACGGUCUUGCCCGGAACUAUAUCCCCCCGAUUCC